AUGAAGCGGUGCUGGGACGCGAACCCCGACAAGCGGCCGGAGAUGGCGGAGGUGGUGACGAUGCUGGAGGCGAUCGACACGUCCAAGGGCGGGGGCAUGAUCCCCGUGGACCAGGCGCGGGGCAUCGGGUGCCUCUCCUGCCUCAGGCCGCGCAGGGGGGCCUGA
rnacentral:rRNA from 1 species